rnacentral:rRNA from 1 species
AGCGUACACGGUGGAUGCCCUGGCAGUCAGAGGCGAUGAAGGACGUGCUAAUCUGCGAUAAGCGUCGGUAAGGUGAUAUGAACCGUUAUAACCGGCGAUUUCCGAAUGGGGAAACCCAGUGUGUUUCGACACACUAUCAUUAACUGAAUCCAUAGGUUAAUGAGGCGAACCGGGGGAACUGAAACAUCUAAGUACCCCGAGGAAAAGAAAUCAACCGAGAUUCCCCCAGUAGCGGCGAGCGAACGGGGAGCAGCCCAGAGCCUGAAUCAGUAUGUGUGUUAGUGGAAGCGUCUGGAAAGGCGCGCGAUACAGGGUGACAGCCCCGUACACAAAAAUGCACAUGCUGUGAGCUCGAUGAGUAGGGCGGGACACGUGGUAUCCUGUCUGAAUAUGGGGGGACCAUCCUCCAAGGCUAAAUACUCCUGACUGACCGAUAGUGAACCAGUACCGUGAGGGAAAGGCGAAAAGAACCCCGGCGAGGGGAGUGAAAAAGAACCUGAAACCGUGUACGUACAAGCAGUGGGAGCACGCUUAGGCGUGUGACUGCGUACCUUUUGUAUAAUGGGUCAGCGACUUAUAUUCUGUAGCAAGGUUAACCGAAUAGGGGAGCCGAAGGGAAACCGAGUCUUAACUGGGCGUUAAGUUGCAGGGUAUAGACCCGAAACCCGGUGAUCUAGCCAUGGGCAGGUUGAAGGUUGGGUAACACUAACUGGAGGACCGAACCGACUAAUGUUGAAAAAUUAGCGGAUGACUUGUGGCUGGGGGUGAAAGGCCAAUCAAACCGGGAGAUAGCUGGUUCUCCCCGAAAGCUAUUUAGGUAGCGCCUCGUGAAUUCAUCUCCGGGGGUAGAGCACUGUUUCGGCAAGGGGGUCAUCCCGACUUACCAACCCGAUGCAAACUGCGAAUACCGGAGAAUGUUAUCACGGGAGACACACGGCGGGUGCUAACGUCCGUCGUGAAGAGGGAAACAACCCAGACCGCCAGCUAAGGUCCCAAAGUCAUGGUUAAGUGGGAAACGAUGUGGGAAGGCCCAGACAGCCAGGAUGUUGGCUUAGAAGCAGCCAUCAUUUAAAGAAAGCGUAAUAGCUCACUGGUCGAGUCGGCCUGCGCGGAAGAUGUAACGGGGCUAAACCAUGCACCGAAGCUGCGGCAGCGACGCUGAUGCGUUGUUGGGUAGGGGAGCGUUCUGUAAGCCUGCGAAGGUGUGCUGUGAGGCAUGCUGGAGGUAUCAGAAGUGCGAAUGCUGACAUAAGUAACGAUAAAGCGGGUGAAAAGCCCGCUCGCCGGAAGACCAAGGGUUCCUGUCCAACGUUAAUCGGGGCAGGGUGAGUCGACCCCUAAGGCGAGGCCGAAAGGCGUAGUCGAUGGGAAACAGGUUAAUAUUCCUGUACUUGGUGUUACUGCGAAGGGGGGACGGAGAAGGCUAUGUUGGCCGGGCGACGGUUGUCCCGGUUUAAGCGUGUAGGCUGGUUUUCCAGGCAAAUCCGGAAAAUCAAGGCUGAGGCGUGAUGACGAGGCACUACGGUGCUGAAGCAACAAAUGCCCUGCUUCCAGGAAAAGCCUCUAAGCAUCAGGUAACAUCAAAUCGUACCCCAAACCGACACAGGUGGUCAGGUAGAGAAUACCAAGGCGCUUGAGAGAACUCGGGUGAAGGAACUAGGCAAAAUGGUGCCGUAACUUCGGGAGAAGGCACGCUGAUAUGUAGGUGAAGCGACUUGCUCGUGGAGCUGAAAUCAGUCGAAGAUACCAGCUGGCUGCAACUGUUUAUUAAAAACACAGCACUGUGCAAACACGAAAGUGGACGUAUACGGUGUGACGCCUGCCCGGUGCCGGAAGGUUAAUUGAUGGGGUCAGCGCAAGCGAAGCUCUUGAUCGAAGCCCCGGUAAACGGCGGCCGUAACUAUAACGGUCCUAAGGUAGCGAAAUUCCUUGUCGGGUAAGUUCCGACCUGCACGAAUGGCGUAAUGAUGGCCAGGCUGUCUCCACCCGAGACUCAGUGAAAUUGAACUCGCUGUGAAGAUGCAGUGUACCCGCGGCAAGACGGAAAGACCCCGUGAACCUUUACUAUAGCUUGACACUGAACAUUGAGCCUUGAUGUGUAGGAUAGGUGGGAGGCUUUGAAGUGUGGACGCCAGUCUGCAUGGAGCCGACCUUGAAAUACCACCCUUUAAUGUUUGAUGUUCUAACGUUGACCCGUGAUCCGGGUUGCGGACAGUGUCUGGUGGGUAGUUUGACUGGGGCGGUCUCCUCCUAAAGAGUAACGGAGGAGCACGAAGGUUGGCUAAUCCUGGUCGGACAUCAGGAGGUUAGUGCAAUGGCAUAAGCCAGCUUGACUGCGAGCGUGACGGCGCGAGCAGGUGCGAAAGCAGGUCAUAGUGAUCCGGUGGUUCUGAAUGGAAGGGCCAUCGCUCAACGGAUAAAAGGUACUCCGGGGAUAACAGGCUGAUACCGCCCAAGAGUUCAUAUCGACGGCGGUGUUUGGCACCUCGAUGUCGGCUCAUCACAUCCUGGGGCUGAAGUAGGUCCCAAGGGUAUGGCUGUUCGCCAUUUAAAGUGGUACGCGAGCUGGGUUUAGAACGUCGUGAGACAGUUCGGUCCCUAUCUGCCGUGGGCGCUGGAGAACUGAGGGGGGCUGCUCCUAGUACGAGAGGACCGGAGUGGACGCAUCACUGGUGUUCGGGUUGUCAUGCCAAUGGCACUGCCCGGUAGCUAAAUGCGGAAGAGAUAAGUGCUGAAAGCAUCUAAGCACGAAACUUGCCCCGAGAUGAGUUCUCCCUGACUCCUUGA